rnacentral:rRNA from 1 species
UAACACGUGGAUAACCUACCUAUAAGACUGGGAUAACUUCGGGAAACCGGAGCUAAUACCGGAUAAUAUUUUGAACCGCAUGGUUCAAAAGUGAAAGACGGUCUUGCUGUCACUUAUAGAUGGAUCCGCGCUGCAUUAGCUAGUUGGUAAGGUAACGGCUUACCAAGGCAACGAUGCAUAGCCGACCUGAGAGGGUGAUCGGCCACACUGGAACUGAGACACGGUCCAGACUCCUACGGGAGGCAGCAGUC